GACGAACGCUGGCGGCGUGCCUAAUACAUGCAAGUCGAGCGGACUUUCAAGAAGCUUGCUUUUUGAAAGUUAGCGGCGGACGGGUGAGUAACACGUGGGCAACCUGCCUGCAAGACGAGGAUAACUCCGGGAAACCGGGGCUAAUACCGGAUAAUAUCUUCCUUCGCAUGAAGGAAGGUUGAAAGGCGGCGCAAGCUGCCGCUUGCAGAUGGGCCCGCGGCGCAUUAGCUAGUUGGUGAGGUAACGGCUCACCAAGGCGACGAUGCGUAGCCGACCUGAGAGGGUGAUCGGCCACACUGGGACUGAGACACGGCCCAGACUCCUACGGGAGGCAGCAGUAGGGAAUCUUCCGCAAUGGACGAAAGUCUGACGGAGCAACGCCGCGUGAGCGAAGAAGGUCUUCGGAUCGUAAAGCUCUGUUGUCAGGGAAGAACAAGUACCGUUCGAACAGGGCGGUACCUUGACGGUACCUGACCAGAAAGCCACGGCUAACUACGU
rnacentral:rRNA from 1 species